AACGAACGCUGGCGGCAGGCCUAACACAUGCAAGUCGAGCGCCCUUUCGGGGGAGCGGCGGACGGGUGAGUAACGCGUGGGAACGUGCCCUUUGCUUCGGAAUAGCCCUGGGAAACUGGGAGUAAUACCGGAUGAGCCCUUUGGGGGAAAGAUUUAUCGGCGAAGGAUCGGCCCGCGUUGGAUUAGGUAGUUGGUGGGGUAAUGGCCUACCAAGCCGACGAUCCAUAGCUGGUUUGAGAGGAUGAUCAGCCACACUGGGACUGAGACACGGCCCAGACUCCUACGGGAGGCAGCAGUGGGGAAUCUUAGACAAUGGGGGAAACCCUGAUCUAGCCAUGCCGCGUGAGCGAUGAAGGCCUUAGGGUUGUAAAGCUCUUUCAGCUGGGAAGAUAAUGACGGUACCAGCAGAAGAAGCCCCGGCUAACUCCGUG
rnacentral:rRNA from 1 species